AGGAACUUUAUUUUGUGUGGUCUGGAAGCUGACAAAGUCUAACUUUACUUUGAACAUUAUCAAUCAAAGAGAAAUGUCCUCCC